GUUGACGAUAAGCGGUGUAGCUUACCUUACACGAAACAGGUUGAGCUAACUACUUGCAGAUUUAGUCAAAAUAUAAUGUGUGUAGCAGAACACUGCGAGACAGGUAGUUAGGGGUGAUAGGCCAAGCAAAAUCUGUGAUAUCUUGAUCUCAGGAAAUACAUUUAGUGAUAAGCUGAGUAAGAAGUGAUAAGGCUCCUUACCCAAAUUAAUUGAUAACAAUUAGACAUAUAACUUUAACAGGUGAUAUAAGUUAAAUGUAAUAUAAUAAUAUAUUUUUUUAUUUAAACUACUGAAGGCUAUAAACCCACUAAAUACUCACAAUGUCAAUAUAAGUAGACUAUACAAGUUAGUGAAAUGAACUCGGCAAAAAGACCUUUCGACUGUUUACCAAAAACAUAGCUAUGCGAACUAACACAUAGUUUUUUCUGCUCAAUGAGUCUUAAAUAGCCGCAGUACUCUGACUGUGCAAAGGUAGCAUAAUCAGUUGGCUUAUAAUUGAAGUCUGGAAUGAAAGAAUAAACGGAGGGAAGCUAUGUCUCACUAAAACUUUGAAAUUAAUAAGUGAGUGAAAAUGCUCACACAUAAAUAAUAGACGAGAAGACCCUAGAAAUUUAAAUUAACUUUUGUUGGGGCGACAUAAUAGCAACUUAACCUAUUUUAUGUACAUGGGUCUAAUUAGGAGUAAGAUUAAUUACUCUAGGGAUAACAGCAUAAUUUAUAAAAGAUUGUGACCUCGAUGUUGGACUAGGAAUUCUAGUCCAAGAUGAGGGUUUGC
rnacentral:rRNA from 1 species